rnacentral:lncRNA from 1 species
AUUGCUUUCUGUUAUCAGUUAAUUCUAGUCCAGUAAGCACACAUUUUGCACCUAUUUGGUACAAUAUUCUACCUAUUGUCCUUUGAAAAGAAGCUGCCUAUAUUGGAGGCAUUCAGGAGCUGGGCAUUUUAUAAAUGUAAGUCAGGGUUCUGACAGAUUAUCUCUGACAGAUUUAGAUGCAGUGAUAGAAUGCUCACACUUUACACCUUGCUUCUCAGCUGGAAGUAACCACCUGAAGAGCAAAGGCACCAGAUUGGAUGUGUGAUGUAGCUCACAGGACAGCUGAAACUGCUUAUGAAAACUUCUUGAGAAAAUUUCAUGAUCUGAACAACUGCUACAGCUUGUUGUAGCAGUGAAGGGCUAAAGCACUAACAGAAACUCGAGUACUUCUCUAAUUUAUUGAAGAAGAUAACUGAAAUUUGACAUUAUACUCUUCUGAAAUGGAAAGAAGGGAAGUGAGGCUGCAAAGGCCAACCUUGAAUCUCAAAAAUGACCAGAGAAGUUUGAAGUUGCCUCUGAGAAGAAGAUAUGGGACUUGCAAUCCUCAGCAGUCAGGAAAAAGCUUAUCCACAUUAGCUGAGGUGGUUCCGGAGGUGGCCGUGCCCACGGGAGCUCAUGGAGCCUGCCCUGCCCUGCCCUGCCUGGGCUCCUGGAGGAUGGGACUGCCGUGCUGAUGGAAAGGUGCUCAUCCUUCCUCUUUUGUGUGCUUAAGAUCCAGCUGUACAUCUUCUAUGCCUGUGUUU